AUGAACGCUGGCGGCAGGCCUAACACAUGCAAGUCGAACGGUAACAGGAAGAAGCUUGCUUCUUUGCUGACGAGUGGCGGACGGGUGAGUAAUGUCUGGGAAACUGCCUGAUGGAGGGGGAUAACUACUGGAAACGGUAGCUAAUACCGCAUAACGUCGCAAGACCAAAGAGGGGGACCUUCGGGCCUCUUGCCAUCGGAUGUGCCCAGAUGGGAUUAGCUAGUAGGUGGGGUAACGGCUCACCUAGGCGACGAUCCCUAGCUGGUCUGAGAGGAUGACCAGCCACACUGGAACUGAGACACGGUCCAG
rnacentral:rRNA from 1 species